rnacentral:rRNA from 1 species
GAUGAACGCUGGCGGCGUGCCUAACACAUGCAAGUCGAACGAAGCGCCUUUUGAGAUUCUUCGGAUGAUUGAUUGGUGACUGAGUGGCGGACGGGUGAGUAACGCGUGGGUAACCUGCCCUGUACAGGGGGAUAACAGCUGGCAACGGCUGCUAAUACCGCAUAAGCGCACGAGGAGACAUCUCCUUGUGUGCAAAACUCCGGAGGUACAGGAUGGGCCCGCCUCUGAUUAGCUGGUUGGCAGGGAAACGUCCUACCAAGGCAACGAUCAGUAGCAGGUCUGAGAGAAUGAACGGCCACAUUGGAACUGAGACACGGUCCAAACUCCUACGUGAGGCAGCAGUAGGGAAUAUUGCACAAUGGGGGAAACCCUGAUGCAGCGACGCCGCGUGAGCGAUGAAGGAAUUCGUUUCGUAAAGCCCUGUCCAAGGGGAAGAUAAUGACAGUACCCUUGGAGGAAGCCCCGGCUAAAUACGUGCCAGCAGCCGCCGUAACAC